GACGAACGCUGGCGGCGUGCCUAAUACAUGCAAGUUGAGCGCUGAAGGUUGGUACUUGUACCAACUGGAUGAGCAGCGAACGGGUGAGUAACGCGUGGGGAAUCUGCCUUUGAGCGGGGGACAACAUUUGGAAACGAAUGCUAAUACCGCAUAAAAACUUUAAACACAAGUUUUAAGUUUGAAAGAUGCAAUUGCAUCACUCAAAGAUGAUCCCGCGUUGUAUUAGCUAGUUGGUGAGGUAAAGGCUCACCAAGGCGAUGAUACAUAGCCGACCUGAGAGGGUGAUCGGCCACAUUGGGACUGAGACACGGCCCAAACUCCUACGGGAGGCAGCAGUAGGGAAUCUUCGGCAAGAGACGAAAGUCUGACCGAGCAACGCCGCGUGAGUGAAGAAGGUUGUCGGAUCGUAAAACUCUGUUGGUAGAGAAGAACGUUGGUGAGAGUGGAAAGCUCAUCAAGUGACGGUAACUACCCAGAAAGGGACGGCUAACUACGUG
rnacentral:rRNA from 1 species